CGCGCGAGCGAGAACACUCGCAUGCUUGCGUGUUAGAAAGGGAAAACAUCUAGUUCAAUUAGAGUAUUAUAG